AGGCUUCUAAUGUGAGGAAAAACACGGAAUGACAAGUGUGGGAAAGAGCAAGCACUAAAUUACUGUCAGAAAAAUAAACGGAGUAGCACAGUGGUGCUCAGUGAUUUACGGGGGCAAUUAGUCACCACCCCACGGCGCUGCUGAGGACAGCACGGCAGCAGACGCGUCAGGCCUGCGAGGAAGAAGAGGCUUUGCACUGCUCUCCAGACAACUUUUCAAACAAGAGAGGAUAUUUGAGUACAUUAGGUUCCAUGUCUUCAUUCUGGGUGCCCACCCUUCACAUUAUCCAGCCAACCUAAUACAUAAACGUAUUUUUAACACAAUAUUAACCUGUUCUGUGUGUGUUAAAAAGACUCCCAACUGCAGCUUUUUUCUCUCCUACGGUCUAAAGUAGGUUUUCCCCAUUCCUUAAAUGAAACAAACAAAUAAAAAAACCUUUCCCUGCUCCCAAAUUGUCCUCCUGAUGUGUGCCUUCAGUCUGUCUCAUUUCUUCUUGCAUCUUGCUAUCAUGUUCUAUAUUUGCUUUGAGCCACUGGGUGCUAAGGAAUUUGGUCUCUAGCUCUUCUGGGGAAGUUUUAGUGAGCUGGCACAAAGAGGUGGUGAAUGAGGCUGCAAAACUCAGGGUAAAUGAGAAAGAUAUAUAAACUUCCUGAUAUUUGUUACCAUGUUCUUUAACAUACUAUAUUUGGUGCCUAUGUAUAUGCAUAUAGCAAAAUAAACCUGCUAAGAUAUGAUAUUUGGUGUACACUCUUUGGUAGGAAGUCUUCUUCAUCAGAAGAAAUCUAGAAUGGGGCACCUGGGUGGCUCCGUCGGUUGGGCGUCUGACUCUUGACUUCGGCUCAGGUCAUGAUCUCAUGGUUUGUGAGUUCGAGCCCUGCAUCGGGCUCUGUGCUGACAGCAUGGAGCCUGCUUGGGAUUCUGUUUCCCCCUAUCUCUGCCUCUCUCUCUCUCUGUCUCUCUUAGAAGUAAAUAAAUAAACAUUUAAAAAGAAGAAGAAGAAGAAAUCUAUAAUGGAAGCCCAGGAAAGAACCCAAGAAAGACAAAGAUUUUAUUGACUAACUGCCAUGUCUGUAUAGGGGCAGUAACAAGGUUGCCGAAGCGAACAAAUGAAGCAUCAUUAGGAGUUUAGUAUCCUGAUGUAGUGUUACCUAAGUGUUGUGCAGUGUUACCAUUUUAUAUUUCUGAAGCACUUUACAGUUUAUGAAGGAUAUUUGGAAUUCCUUUUGUCAUUUGAUCUUGCCUCAGCUUUAGUCAAGAACACAUGCUCAAUUAGAAAUGUGUUCAAUGAGUAUGUACACAUUUGGAGAAUGUGACCCAACACAUGCUUACAUGUUGACCUGUAAGCUGGAGUACUAAAGAGGCAAAACCUUGUUGAUGAGCUGGUGCUGUAAUGAUGUGCCAUUCAACUGGGCACUUACUUUCUGAUAAAGAGACUCACAAUUGGGAAAAAGUGCAGAUUUUACUGGCUCCUCUUUUCCACAUUAUCAAUUGUGGUUUUUUUGGGGUUUUUUUGUUAAGGCACAAUGUACCUUCAAAAACAAUUAAAAAAUAGAGCCCUGGAAUUUGAUGUAGAAUUGGGUAUUUGUGACAAGAGCACUGGUUUUCCUGUAAUAAGGAAAGCAAACCCAACCAGGAAAAGAGGCAGAUGUGUUUCUUUGCAACAUUGCAGGCAUAUGAAAUUAUACAGAUCUCACUGAAAACUAGGAAUGAUACAACUUGAAAAUUUAACCAAAAUUAUUUUUUAUCAGUGAACAAAGUCCAUUGUAAAGCACUGUAUGUAUUUCUUCAGAUCUCUUUCUUUUCCUGAAGUCACACUUGUAGUUUCUGGUAGAGGGACAUAAUUGGGGAAAAUUAAAUACAUAAAAAGAUGAAAUUUAAAAGUAUAAAAUUCUGCCUUUCUGAUAAAUUUUAUGUUCCCUGUUUCCUUGAUUUAAAGAGGACGUUCUAAUAUUACCCUUACAGGGGACACAUUUUUAUAUACAUGUUAUUUUUGUUUAGAAAUUGUGAGCUAGUGAAGAGUGAAAAUGACCUUGGCUAUUGUACUUACUUAUUGAUAGAAAUAAUAGCCUUUUUAUAUCUGAAUUCAAAUGUCUUCUCUACUAAUCAUGCAACUUCCAUACAUUUCAAAGAGAUUUGGGUUGCAUGAAAACAGGAGGCUGGAGCUUCCUACGUGCCACCGUGUUUGUGUUCAUACAGAAUAUUUAUGCAAUAUUCCAACUUGGCUAUAAUCUAUAAUUCCUGGCUAUUAUUUCAGUUGCAACUAUAAUUUUUAGAUUAAUGGUUAUAAUUUUGGUAGGGAAUACAUGAAAAGUUAUAUGUUCAUGCUUGAAAGGAGGAUCAUUAAAUAUUCAUUAUUACCACUCAAAUUAGUUGUCAUGCUCUAUAAAACAGUUACCCGUUAUCAUUUCACUAGUUUAGAUUCUGCAGUAAGUGAACAGCAAUAUAUGGCUCAUAUCAGUAGAGGAAUUUUUGUUGGGGAACAGAGAGAGAAAUGAUUUUAAAACACAUUUGACAUAUUUAUGUUGACAAAUUAUAUAAAGAAUUACUGCUUUGUCAAUAAAUAUGUUUGUAUGUUAGAAUAGGAUUGUGGCUGGAUUUACUUCUAGCUGUUUAAUUACUCUAUGAUUGUGAAAAAAUAGUGCUUCUUCAAAUGGUUAUAAGGGGAAAAAAUUAAAAUACAAAGGUUGGGAUAUUUUAGUAUUUUGCAGAUGCUUAAACUUGCCAUAAAAAAGCACUUUUCAUUUUUGUAAGCAGGCAUUGAAAUCUUGCUUUUUCAGCAAAGCUAGAUUGUAUAGUUUGUUACUUUUCUCUAUCUGGUAACAAAUCUAUUCUUAAAAAAAGAAAAAAAUAAAACAAGAGAUCGAUUUUUAUAAAUGUGGUGGGGGAGCA
rnacentral:lncRNA from 1 species